CACGUAGGGCGCAAGCGUUGUCCGGAAUUAUUGGGCGUAAAGAGCUCGUAGGCGGUCUGUUGCGUCCGCUGUGAAAACUCGGGGCUUAACCCCGAGCCUGCAGUGGAUACGGGCAGACUAGAGGUAGGUAGGGGAGAAUGGAAUUCCCGGUGUAGCGGUGAAAUGCGCAGAUAUCGAGAGGAACACCGGUGGCGAAGGCGGUUCUCUGGGCCUUACCUGACGCUGAGGAGCGAAAGCGUGGGGAGCGAACAGG
rnacentral:rRNA from 1 species